rnacentral:rRNA from 1 species
GACGAACGCUGGCGGCGUGCUUAACACAUGCAAGUCGAACGGUGAAGCGCCUUCCUUUUUGGUGGGUGUGGAUGAGUGGCGAACGGGUGAGUAACACGUGAGUAACCUGCCCCCUUCUUCUGGAUAACCGCAUGAAAGUGUGGCUAAUACGGGAUAUUCUGGGUCUGUCGCAUGAUGGGUCUGGGUAAGAUAUUGUUUCGGGGGGGGAUGGGCUCGCGGCCUAUCAGCGUGUUGGUGGGGUGAUGGGCUAGCAAGGCGGUGACGGGUAGCCGGCCUGGGAGGGUGGACGGUCAGACUGGGAGUGAGACACCGUCCAGACUCCGAUGGGAGGCAGCAGUGGGGAGGAUUGCACAGUGGGGGCAAGCCUGCUGCAGCGACGCGGCGUGAGGGAUGGAGGCCUGCGGGUUGUGAACCUCUUUCGCCAGUGAAGCAGGCCUGCCUGGUUUGUGGGUGGGUUGACGGUAGCUGGAUAAGAAGCGCCGGCUAACUACGUG